UAAAUUGAGAGUUUGAUCCUGGCUCAGGAUGAACGCUGGCGGCGUGCUUAACACAUGCAAGUCGAGCGAUGAAGUUUCCUUCGGGAAACGGAUUAGCGGCGGACGGGUGAGUAACACGUGGGUAACCUGCCUCAUAGAGUGGAAUAGCCUUCCGAAAGGAAGAUUAAUACCGCAUAAUGUUGAAAGAUGGCAUCAUCAUUUAACCAAAGGAGCAAUCUGCUAUGAGAUGGACCCGCGGCGCAUUAGCUAGUUGGUGGGGUAACGGCCUACCAAGGCGACGAUGCGUAGCCGACCUGAGAGGGUGAUCGGCCACAUUGGGACUGAGACACGGCCCAGACUCCUACG
rnacentral:rRNA from 1 species